rnacentral:rRNA from 1 species
AUACGUAGGUGACAAGCGUUAUCCGGAUUUACUGGGCGUAAAGGGCGUGUAGGCGGUCUUGCAAGUCAGAAGUGAAAUUCCUGAGCUCAACUCGGGCGCUGCUUCUGAAACUGCAGGACUUGAGUGCUGGAGGGGAUAGCGGAAUUCCUAGUGGAGCGGUAAAAUGGGCAGAUAUUAGGAAGAACACCGGUGGCGAAGGCGGCUAUCUAGACAGUAACUGCCGCUGUAGCGCGAAAGCGUGGGGAGCAAACAGGAUUAGAUACCCGGGUGGUCCACGCCGUAAACGAUGAAUACUAGGUGUAGGGGGUAUCGACUCCCUCUGUGCCGCAGUUAACACAAUAAGUAUUCCGCCUGGGGAGUCCGGCCGCAAGGUUGAAACUCAAAGGAAUUGACGGGG